GACGAACGCUGGCGGCGUGCCUAACACAUGCGAGUCGAACGCCCCUAGCGAUAGGGGAGUGGCGGACGGGUGAGUAACGCGUGGGAACCUGCCCUUGAGUGCGGGAUAACCGAGGGAAACUUCGGCUAAUACUGCAUGAUCCCCGAGCAAUCGGGGGAAAGAUUUAUCGCUCGAGGAGGGGCCCGCGUCGGAUUAGCUAGUUGGUGGGGUAACGGCCUACCAAGGCGAUGAUCCGUAGCUGGUCUGAGAGGAUGAUCAGCCACACUGGGACUGAGACACGGCCCAGACUCCUACGGGAUGCAGCAGUAGGGAAUAUUAGACAAUGGGGGCAACCCUGAUCCAGCAAUGCCGCGUGAGUGAUGAAGGCCUUAGGGUUGUAAAGCUCUUUCGCGCGCGACGAUGAUGACGGUAGCGCGAGAAGAAGCCCCGGCUAACUUCGUGCCAGCCGCCGCCGUAACAC
rnacentral:rRNA from 1 species